GGGGUGAGGAUAAUGAGUUGGGUUCCACCCAGAUCCAUUCCGAACCUGGCAGUUAAGCCUUCUCAUGCUGAUGGUAGUACACUU
rnacentral:rRNA from 1 species